rnacentral:rRNA from 1 species
CCUACGGGAGGCAGCAGUAGGGAAUAUUGCUCAAUGGGGGAAACCCUGAAGCAGCAACGCCGCGUGGAGGAUGAAGGUUUUCGGAUUGGAAAACCCUUUUGGUAGAGAAGAAAAUGACGGUAUCUAACGAAUAAGCACCGGCUAACUCCGUGCCAGCAGCCGCGGUAAAACGGAGGGAGCAAGCGUUACUCGGAAUCACUGGGCGUAAAGAGCUUGUAGGCGGGAUAGCAAGUCAGAUGUGAAAUCCUAGGGCUUAACCAUAGAACUGCAUUUGAAACUGUUAUUCUAGAGUAUGGGAGAGGUAGGUGGAAUGCUUGGUGUAGGGGUGAAAUCCGUAGAGAUCAAGAGGAAUACUCAUUGCGAAGGCGACAUGCUAGAGCAUAACUGACGCUGAUGCGCGAAAGCGUGGGGAGCGAACAGGAUUAGAUACCCCAGUAGUC